rnacentral:rRNA from 1 species
GCUGCCCUUCCUACGGGAGGCAGCAGUAACGAAUCUUCCGCAAUGGGCGAAAGCCUGACGGAGCAAUGCCGCGUGUGGGAUGAAGCAUCUCUGGUGUGUAAACCACUGUCAGGGGGCGGAAACAAUGAUUGCCCCCAAAGGAAGUGGCGACUAACUCUGUGCCAGCAGCCGCGGUAAUAAGG